ensembl:lncRNA
AGGGAGGCUUGGAUUCAAUGACUGGUCAGUGCAGGGGUGCAAACGUUUGAACCCUUUGCUUUGAUUUGGGAGAGCUUUGAAGGGCCAGCCCAGCUCCAGAUAUCCCUGUGGGAUGGGCUGAGGCCUCUGUUGCAGCUGCAUCGCACUUCGACACCUCCCUCUGCCUGAUCCUGCUUCCCUCGCACUCUCAAAGAUGCUGUUAAGGAGAGUUCUCCCCACCAAACCUCCUGCCUGCAAAUCUCUGCCUUGGAGUUUGUUUCCUGGGGAAUUUGACCUAAGACACUGCAGAUGGCUCCUGGGAACUCUAUGAGGCUGGAAUGAUCAUAAUCUCCAUCUAACACAAGGGGAAACUGAGGCUCAGAGAAGUUAAGUGACUGACCAUAGUCACACACGAAGCAGCAGAAUCGGGUGUCAAAUGCAAGUCUACUUCCCAAAAGGAGCUUUGUCUGGUGCCUGUGGGGAAGAGGAACUCAGUGUCAUAUUUUGGUAACGUCAUCUUGGGAAUUAUACAAACCCUGGAAGAUUUGCCAUCAGCGAAGAACGCGGUUGCCACAGUGAUGAUUCUCUUCGUUCCCAGCUCCCCAAGGACACAGCCCACCUACCACGACCCUGCUUGCUGGCUGCCAGGGUCUCUGCUUCCCUGCUCACCGCCCCCGUGAGGUCCUCCAGCUCCAGCCUGAAACAAAGCCCCAGGGCAGACCUGGCUCAGCUGUAGACACCGGCUCUGGCUACAGAGACCGUGACCUAAUUUCCAGUUUUCUAACUGGCCCUGCUAUGGAGGCGAGGUAUCCCAAGGCUCUGUAGUGGCCGGGAUCUGGUAGGCACUCAAGAAACAUGUGUUGACCGAAUGCAUGUGUGAAUGCCCUCGAAGCCAAGGAAUAGGCUGGCCACCCUGCGGAGGGACAGACUCCAGGUCUCCGUCCGGCUGCGGCUGCCUCCCGUGCUGUGUCCAGCUGGACACAGGCUGGUCUCCUCUUCCUCCAGCCCCACCCGGGACCGAGCAAGCAGCCUCUGGGGAUCCUUCUUCUCAGCCUCGGCAGGGUCCGUUCCCAGCUCCAGGGCAUCCUUGGAAAGCAUGCACUUGGUACCUCGCUCCUGGCAGCCAAGAAGUGGAAGAGCCCAGCUCCAGCUGCUGGCUCCUCGAGGCCUUUGUCCACCUCAUCUGCCCAGCAAUGGUCUCUGUCCCAGCCAGGCUGCCUCUGGGGAACCUCUCAGAAACUUCUCAGGAGAGGCCCAGCCUCAGAGCGGGUGUGACAAGGUCUUGCUCCGGCCUCCUGCUCAGCGAUCAUCUGUAUCUUCCUUCUGAGCAUGGUCACACUGCCUCCUCCCGACGGGGGGAAGGACAGAGGGGUUUCCCCACUUACGCCUGUCCAUUUUGGGGAGGGCUUUUGAUGGUCAGGCUGGGCCCUCCACACCCUGGGAGCGUGGAUCAGGGACCCUGGAGCUCUCCUACAUCCUGCGCCAUCCUGAGGGUUCCCAACAGGCUUCCCCGCCUUAGCAGAUCCAAACCCCUCUCCUUCACCCCACCUCGUCCCACCUGCCUUGGUGAAUGGCUCCCCUAACUGCCUAGCGGCUCAGCUCUAGAACCCUGGAGUAGUUCUUGCUGCCUCUCUCUCACACCCACACCGUCUCAAGAAAUUCUGUCGGCUCUGACUUUAAAGAAUAACCAGAAGCCAGAAACUUCUUCCCAUCCCCACCGCCCUGCCCUGGUCAGAGCCACCAUCGAGUCUUGUGUGGAGGGUAGCUGUGGCCCCCUAAAUGGUCUCCCUGAUGACACCCUUGCCCCUGCCAGUUUAUUGUUUACCAGCAGCCCGAGGGGUCCUGCUAAAACCAUAGUCGGUCAUGUCCCUUCUCAGCUCACAGCCCUGCCAGGUCCCUCCGCAGCCCAUAGUCCCACACAAUCUGCUCCGCUGCUACUCUCUGAACUCCUCCUUUGUUCUACCCUCCCGCUCCCGCCCGCCAGCCACACUGGCUAUCCCUUGAAAUCAACUAGUAUGCUCCUGCCUCAGGGCCUUUGCUCUUGUUGUGUCCUCAGCCUGGAAUGCUCUUCCUCUAGAUAGCUGCAUGGCUCACUCCUUCCUUCAGGUCUCUGCUCAGAUGUCACCUCCUCAGACAGAAUUUUCUCGACCACCCUCUGUCGAUGUUCCCCACCCCAUCCCUCUCAAGCCUCUUGAGAGGUUGGUGCUCUUGAGAACAUCAUGCUUAAAGCAGGCUGGGGCGCUUCUCCUGUGGGCUGGGCAUCUGGUUGGGAGGUUUUCAAGUGUUAAUUCAGCCUCAUAACAGCAGCACGAGGCAGCUCUCACGAUCACGUUUCCAGACAAGGAAACUGGGGCUGAGAGAGACUAACAGACGUUUUUAAGCUUUAUUGAGACAUAAGUCACAUACUAUAAAAUCCACCUAUUUAAAAUAUCAAUGUUUUUUAGUAUAGUCACAGAGUUGUGCAACCCUCACCACAAUCAAUUUUGGAAGGUUUCCAUUACCCCAGAAGAGUAUCCGUUAGCAGUUGCUCCCCACUCUACCGUCAAUCUGCCUUCUGUCUCUCAGGAUUGGCUUGUGCUUCACAUUUCUUGGAAACGGGAUUGUGCAAUAUGUGGUAUUGUGUGACUGGCUUAUUUUGUGCUAGAUUUUACAACUCCGCGAUGUUAUUAAAUAACCAAUGGUUAAACUACACACUUUCAAAUGUGUUAGAAAGGAACAACAGUAGAUAUUUGUUAGACAGUCCGUGAGACAGGAUGAUGGGGAAGAAGAAAGACGGUGGGUCUGGAAGAGAUGUCUGUACAUCCACGUUCACAGCAUCCUUAUUCACGACAGCUCAAACGCAGGCACAGCCCAAGCAUCCUUGGAUGGAUGAGAGGGUGAGCAAAUGUGGUCUAUACAUGCAAUGGAAUAUUAUUCAGUCUUAAAAAGUAAGGACAUUCUGACACAUGGGACAAGGUGAAUGAACCUUGAGGACAGUAUGCUAAGUGAAAUAAGCCAAUCAAAAAAGAAAAAAUACAGUAUGAUUUCACUUAUCUGAGGUACCCCGAGAAGUCAAAUUCAUAGAGACAGAAAGUAGACUGGUGGUUGCUGGGGGCUGAGGCGGGGGACAAGGAGAGUUAUUGCUUGGUGGGGACAGAGUUUCAGUUUUGCAAGAUGAAGCGUUCUGGAGGUGGGCGGUGCUGCUGGUUGCACAUUAUGAAUGUAUUUGAUACCACUGAACUGUACAGUUAAAAAUGGUUACAAUGGUAAAUUUUAUGUUAUGUGUAUUUUACCACAAUAAAAAAAUUGGGAAAAAGAAAAGAAAGGCCCUGGGCUAGGAGUCACAGGGCUUGAGUUCUUGUCCUGAUUCUGCCUUUCACUGUGUGACUGUGUGCAAGACAGCAACCUCUCUGGGGAUGCUAACAGGUUUGUCCAAGUCACACAGCGACUGAGGGAAAGUGACUACAGUGGCCGCGCUUCAGGGCAACUCCCAGGGCGGGCCUUCAGCAGAGGAGUCUGUCCCAGCCGUGGCCCUGGGUUCCUGCUUGCCAUCCGCCCCAGCGUCUCUCUGGUCU